UUUUUUUAUUUCGAUAUUUCGUUACAUUCUUUGACUAGUGUUUAAAGUGAGCCGCAGAGCGCAGAAGGUCCAUGAUCAUAACAAUCACUUUGUUCGUUGUUCCGCCAUAUAAGUGCACAGAGUUAGAAAGUGGGGGUCAGGCUCUACCGAAGUAGACGCCCUAUAAUUCACUAAUGAUCCUUCCGCAGGUUCACCUACGGAAA
rnacentral:misc_RNA from 1 species